ACCUAGUGGAUUUGUCCCACCUAUCAGUUGUGUCUUGGAGUGUCAUGGAGGUGCGCCUGACCCUGGGUCUGUAUCUGGCCCAUGAUGCCUUUCUCUCCAGUGCCCUUCCUCUGUUCUGCUUCCCGGCUACUACGGAAUGCAUAGCUUCGCUCUGCAGUGCCCUUCUGCCAUUUUGUUCCUGCACUGGAGCCAGUGAACUGGAAGCCUCUGAAAUGGAAUAGAAGACCAUACCAGAUAGAAGGGAAAGAAGAACGUGCAGUAACAGAACCAUGAGUAUGAAAGCACCUAAGAAGAUGGAGUUGUAUACAGUUAAUCACACCCUAUCCCUCUCCUUUCUCUUGAAAAUAUCCUUGGCUGUGUUGCA